GACUAACGCUGGCGGCGUGCCUAACACAUGCAAGUCGAACGGACCCUUCGGGGUAAGUGGCAGACGGGUGAGUAACGCGUAGGUAAUGUGCCCUUUUGCUGGGGAUACCUGUCCGAAAGGACAGUUAAUACCGAAUACCCUGAUCUGGGGGCAUCUCCAAAUCAGGAAACCGUAUGGGCGAGAGGAGCAACCUGCGUUCUAUCAGCUUGUUGGUGGGGUAACGGCCACCAAGGCUACGACGGANAGCCGGUCUGAGAGGAUGAUCGGCCACACUGGGACUGAGACACGGCCCAGACUCCUACGGGAGGCAGCAGUGAGGAAUCUUGCGCAAUGGGCGAAAGCCUGACGCAGCGACGCCGCGUGGGGGAUGAAGGCUC
rnacentral:rRNA from 1 species